rnacentral:ncRNA from 1 species
UCAAAAUGGCCACAGAAAUGCCAAAGGCCCAAUAUAGGCGUUGACAUGAUGUGAUUUCUGCCCAGCCCUCUGAAUGUCAAAGUGAAGAAAUUCAAUGAAGCUUGGUAAACAGCAGGAGUAACUAUGACACUCUUCAUGUAGCCAAACGCUUUGUCACCUAAUUAGUGACACACAUGAAUGGAUGAACAAGA